UUUGUGCAUUUAACUUAAAAAAAAAUGAAUUUGUUUCUGUCCAUCCAGGUAAUAGCACAAGUAGUUAAGAUCCAGUCUCACAGCCUUCCAGUUGCCUGGUGCCAAACUUCACGUGAAAUCUGAAUUCUGGCCGGAGCUGGACCUACUGAGUUUUGGGAUGAGGCCAAGAUCUUGUGACCCACCUUCUACAAGUGCUAAGGGCUGCACAAAGAAGCAAUGGAGAUCAAACCCAGGAAAUGGCAAUUCCACAAUACUACAGGAAUUUUCUCCCAGAUCUGAGUGCAUGAUGUAUAAAAUGUAGAAGUGAUGGUUUUAACCAGGAAGAUCAAAUAAUUUUAGAAGCAGCAGCUAACAGGCAGAAUGUACAAUGCAUCAACCAACAAAGAGAACUGCCUCCACCAUCCUUUUAAAACAUGCUGAUCCUAGUAAAAAAAACUAUGUGAUGGUUUAUGCAUCCUUUAUAGAACAUUAA